rnacentral:misc_RNA from 1 species
UUGAAUAAACUUGGUUGGGUUGUUGCUGGCUCUUAGGGGCAUGUGCACACCUAGUGCCAUUUUUAAAACCACCUGUGCACAUUUUGUAGACCUUUAGAAUGCUGUGAGGCUAGACCUUACAAUAUUUCAUUAGUCUACGUCUUCACAUACACACGAAUGUAAUAGAAUGUCAUUUAACUGGUACUGUAAAGUGCCUUUAAACACAAUGAAAUA